rnacentral:siRNA from 1 species
AUUACGGAGAGCAUCGGUGCUA